GAGCACAAAAGGGAUAAUCCAAAGGAUGCUAAGCUUGAUUCUGAAUCAAAUGCCAAAGCUUAUGGGGAGAAUGAUGAUCAGAAUAGGGAUGAAUAUUCUAGGUGGGGGAAAGAUGACCGGAAUAAGCAUGAAUAUUCUAGGUGGGGGAUGAGUGACCGGAAUAAGGGUGAAUACUCUAGAUGGGGAAAAGAUGAUCAGAAUAGGGAUGAAUAUUCUAGGUGGGAGAAAGAUGAUCUGAAAAGGGAUGAUUAUUCUAGGUCAGUUAGGUCUGGAGGAGAGAUUGACUGUGACAAUGGUAGACAAAAUGGCAGACUUCAAAGUAAGAUCACCAAAUCUGAUAGUGGAUUGAUGAGAGAUG
rnacentral:lncRNA from 1 species